GGCAGUCGUGGAUGCCUCCUGGGCUGCAGCUAGCCUACUCAGACCCACUCGGAGCAGUCUGCUGUAGAGCCCUGCC
rnacentral:lncRNA from 1 species